rnacentral:rRNA from 1 species
UACAGAGGUCUCGAGCGUUAGGCGGAAUCACUGGGCUUAAAGCGUGUGUAGGCGGUUCGUUAAGUACCUUGUGAAAUCCCAUGGCUCAACCAUGGAACUGCUGGGUAUACUGGCGAUCUUGUGCAACCUAGGGGCGAGCGGAACAGAUGGUGGAGCGGUGAAAUGCGUAGAUAUCAUCUGGAACGCCAAUGGUGAAAACAGCUCGCUGGGGGUUUGCAGACGCUGAGACACGAAAGCCAGGGGAGCGAACGGG